GGAGGUAGUGACAAUAAAUCCCAAUGUAGGACCGUUGGUUUUACAAUUGGAUUGAGAACAACUUAAAAUCGUUAUCGAUGAACAAUUGGAGGGCAAGUCUGGUGCCAGCAGCCGCGGUAAUUCCAGCUCCAAUAGCGUAUAUUAACAUUGUUGCAGUUAAAAAGCUCGUAGUUGAAUGGAGACCGUUGCCGGUUUACUUGGAAGUAAAGGGCGAGGGUGUUUGCAGAGUCUCUUCGAAUAUUUAUUUAUUGUUGUAGGCUGUGCAGUUUUACUGUGAGAAAAGUAGAGUGUUCAAAGCAGGCGUUUGUUUGAAUACAUUAGCAUGGAAUAAUGAGUUUGCAUGUUUGUAAAUUUGUUUGGUUUGUUUACAAGGAUGUUGUUUAAUAGGGACAGUUGGGGGUAUUCAUAUUCAAUAGUUAGAGGUGAAAUUCUCGGAUUUAUGGAAGAUGAACAAGUGCGAAAGCA
rnacentral:rRNA from 1 species